rnacentral:rRNA from 1 species
UAGUCAUAUGCUUGUUCCAAAGAUUAAACCAUGCAUGUUUAAGUAUAAACCAAUUUAUACGGUGAAACUGCGAAUGGCUCAUUAUAUCAGUUAUAAUUUACUUGAUAGUCUUUUUAUCAUUGGAUAACCGUGGUAAUUUUAGAGGUAAUACAUGCAACAAGCCCGACUCUUGGAAGGGCUGUAUUUAUUAGAUAAAAAACCAACGCCCUUGGGCCCCCUGGUGAUUCAUAAUAACUCACGGAUUGUAGGGCCUUGCGCCGACGACGUUUCAUUCAAAUUUUUGCCCUAUCAACUUUUGAUGGUAGGAUAGAGGCCUACCAUGGUUUUUACGGGUAACGGGGAAUUAGGGUUUGAUUCCGGAGAGGGAGCCUGAGAAAUGGCUACCACAUCCAAGGAAGGCAGCAGGCGCGCAAAUUACCCAAUCCCGAUUUGGGGAGGUAGUGACAGUAAAUAACAAUGCAGGACCCUUUGGGUUUUGCAAUUGGAAUGAGAACAAUUUAAAUCCCUUAUCGAGUAACAAUU